rnacentral:rRNA from 1 species
AAAGCGUGCGCAGGCGGUUAUAUAAGACAGAUGUGAAAUCCCCGGGCUCAACCUGGGAACUGCAUUUGUGACUGUAUAGCUGGAGUGCGGCAGAGGGGGAUGGAAUUCCGCGUGUAGCAGUGAAAUGCGUAGAUAUGCGGAGGAACACCGAUGGCGAAGGCAAUCCCCUGGGAUAACACUGACGCUCAUGCACGAAAGCGUGGGGAGCAAACAGGAUUAGAUACCCUUGU